GAUGAACGCUGGCGGCGUGCCUCAAACAUGCAAGUCGAGCGAGGCUAUGAGUUACCGCAAGGUAAGGCAUAGCCUAGCGGCGAACGGGUGAGUAACACGUGGGUAACCUACCUGGAAGACAGGGAUAACGAUUCGAAAAGGGUCGCUAAUACCUGAUAAUAUCCAUCUGCCGGAUGGCGGAGGGAAGAAAGGGGAAACCCGCUUUCAGAUGGGCCCGCGUCCCAUCAGCUAGUUGGUAAGGUAAAGGCUUACCAAGGCGACGACGGGUAGCCGGUCUGAGAGGAUGUACGGCCACACUGGGACUGAGAUACGGCCCAGACUCCUACGGGAGGCAGCAGUUGGGAAUCUUAGGCAAUGGACGAAAGUCUGACCUAGCGACGCCGCGUGAGGGAAGAAGGCCUUCGGGUUGUAAACCUCUGUCAUGGGGGAAGAAGGAAGUGACGGUACCCCAAGAGGAAGCCCCUGCUAACUACGUG
rnacentral:rRNA from 1 species